rnacentral:rRNA from 1 species
AGUUGCCUACGGGGGGCAGCAGUGGGGAAUAUUGGGCAAUGGGCGCAAGCCUGACCCAGCAACGCCGCGUGAAGGAAGAAGGCUUUCGGGUUGUAAACUUCUUUUGACAGGGAAGAGCAGAAGACGGUACCUGUCGAAUAAGCCACGGCUAACUACGUGCCAGCAGCCGCGGUAAUACGUAGGUGGCGAGCGUUAUCCGGAAUGAUUGGGCGUAAAGGGUGCGCAGGCGGUCCUGCAAGUCUGGAGUGAAACGCAUGAGCUCAACUCAUGCAUGGCUUUGGAAACUGGAGGACUGGAGAGCAGGG